AACGGUAAAAAUGAUUGGUGGAAUUACAAAUGAGCCAAUAUAGCAAUAUAGCAGUAACUAAUAAAGUGCUGUACUUCUACUUUUUAUCUCAAUCGUAUCGGUUCAGUAUCAAUUGGUUCUACGAUUCAAGGGAUGUUUUCACGUGUUCUGCUGCUGUUAUUCAUCCUGCGGUGCGCUAAUGCCACAGACCAAGAAGGAGAGCAGCGCGUUUGCACCCAGGAGUGCGUCAGUAGUGAGCGAUGUGGGGACGAGAGGAGCAUGAAGGCGCCGGGCGUGUGUCCAGGCGACCUCGUCUGCUGCGCGUUUGCCAUUGAUCAUCAGUGACGUUCGCGAGCUACGGGUAACCCAUAACAAGAAGCAAUAAAAUAAAAUACUUACAGAUGAAAGUAAAAUCGGGCCCUCAAAACACUUAAAAGCAAAAAAAUUAUAGGUCGGCACCGAAGGAUAUUACAAUUCUGCUAAGGCAGCAAAAGUGUACAAAAAGAAGCAAAAUUAUUAAAGAAGAUGUGUGUAAACUA